rnacentral:rRNA from 1 species
UACGUAGGGUGCAAGCGUUGUUCGGAAUUAUUGGGCGUAAAGCGCGUGUAGGUGGUUGUUUAAGUCAGAUGUGAAAUCCCUGGGCUCAACCGAGGAAGUGCAUUUGAAACUAGAUAGCUAGAGGACAGCAGAGGAAGGUGGAAUUCCUAGUGUAGAGGUGAAAUUCGUAGAUAUUAGGAGGAAUACCUGUGGCGAAGGCGGCCUUCUGGACUGUUCCUGACACUGAGACGCGAAAGCGUGGGGAGCAAACAGG